UAUGUAGGGGUGCGAGCGUUGUCCGGAAUUAUUGGGCGUAAAGAGCUUGUAGGCGGUUUGUCGCGUCUGCUGUGAAAAUCCGGGGCUCAACCCCGGACUUGCAGUGGGUACGGGCAGACUAGAGUGUGGUAGGGGAGACUGGAAUUCCUGGUGUAGCGGUGAAAUGCGCAGAUAUCAGGAGGAACACUGAUGGCGAAGGCAGGUCUCUGGGCCACUACUGACGCUGAGAAGCGAAAGCAUGGGGAGCGAACAGGAUUA
rnacentral:rRNA from 1 species